rnacentral:rRNA from 1 species
GACGAACGCUGGCGGCGUGCUUAACACAUGCAAGUCGAACGGAAAGGCCCUGCUUUUGUGGGGUGCUCGAGUGGCGAACGGGUGAGUAACACGUGAGUAACCUGCCCUUGACUUUGGGAUAACUUCAGGAAACUGGGGCUAAUACCGGAUAGGAGCUCCUGCUGCAUGGUGGGGGUUGGAAAGUUUCGGCGGUUGGGGAUGGACUCGCGGCUUAUCAGCUUGUUGGUGGGGUAGUGGCUUACCAAGGCUUUGACGGGUAGCCGGCCUGAGAGGGUGACCGGCCACAAUGGGACUGAGAUACGGCCCAGACUCCUACGGGAGGCAGCAGUGGGGAAUAUUGCACAAUGGGCGAAAGCCUGAUGCAGCAACGCCGCGUGCGGGAUGACGGCCUUCGGGUUGUAAACCGCUUUCGCCUGUGACGAAGCGUGAGUGACGGUAAUGGGUAAAGAAGCACCGGCUAACUACGUG